AAAUUGAAGAGUUUGAUCAUGGCUCAGAUUGAACGCUGGCGGCAGGCCUAACACAUGCAAGUCGAGCGGAA
rnacentral:rRNA from 3 species